rnacentral:rRNA from 1 species
UGGGGAAUCUUCCGCAAUGGACGAAAGUCUGACGGAGCAACGCCGCGUGAGUGAAGAAGGUUUUCGGAUCGUAAAACUCUGUCUUUUGGGGCGAACGUGAGUAUGGUGAACAAUCAUAGUCAGUGACGGUACCAAAGGAGGAAGCCACGGCUAACUACGUGCCAGCAGCCGCGGUAAUACGUAGGUGGCAAGCGUUGUCCGGAAUUAUUGGGCGUAAAGAGCGCGUAGGCGGGAUAGUCAGUCUGUUGUAAAAGUGCGGGGCUCAACCCCGUGAUGGCAAAUGGAAACAGCUAUUCUUGAGUGCAGGAGAGGAAAGUGGAAUUCCCAGUGUAGCGGUGAAAUGCGUAGAUAUUGGGAGGAACACCAGUGGCGAAGGCGACUUUCUGGACUGUGUCUGACGCUGAGGCGCGAAAGCCAGGGGAGCGAACGGGAUUAGAUACCCCGGUAGUCCUGGCCGUAAAACGAUGGGUACUAGGUGUGGGGGGUAUCGACCCCUUCCGUGCCGGAGUUAAACGCAAAUAAGUACCCCCGCCUGGGGGAGUACGGUCGCAAGACUGAAAACUCAAAGGAAUUGACGGGGGUCAUAGCUGUUUCCUG